UACGGAGGGUGCGAGCGUUGUCCGGAAUCACUGGGCGUAAAGGGCGCGUAGGCGGCGCGGAUAGUCGGCGGUGAAAGCCCGGAGCUCAACUCCGGGUCGGCCGUCGAUACUUCCGGGCUUGAGCACUAUAGAGGCAGAUGGAAUUCCGGGUGUAGCGGUGGAAUGCGUAGAGAUCCGGAAGAACACCGGUGGCGAAGGCGGUCUGCUGGGCAGUUGCUGACGCUGAUGCGCGAC
rnacentral:rRNA from 1 species